rnacentral:rRNA from 1 species
CACGCAGGCGGUCGGUCAAGUCUGAUGUGAAAGCUCCUGGCUUAACUGGGAGAGGUCGUUGGAAACUGAUCGACUUGAGGUAAUGAGAGGGGUGUGGAAUUCCCGGUGUAGUGGUGGAAUGCGUAGAUAUCGGGAGGAACACCAGUGGCGAAAGCGGCACCCUGGCAUUGACCUGACGCUCAUGUGCGAAAGCGUGGGGAGCGAACG